CAGUCGCCGCGGGAAUACGAAGGGUGCAAGCGUUACUCGGAAUUACUGGGCGCAAAGCGUGCGUAGGUGGUGGUUUAAGUCCGUUGUGAAAGCCCUGGGCUCAACCUGGGAAUUGCAGUGGAUACUGGGUCACUAGAGUGUGGUAGAGGAUAGUGGAAUUUCCGGUGUAGCAGUGAAAUGCGUAGAGAUCGGAAGGAACAUCUGUGGCGAAGGCGACUAUCUGGGCCAACACUGACGCUGAGGCACGAAAGCGUGGGGAGCAAACAGGAUUAGAGACCCCUGUAGUCCCUGUCUCUUAUAC
rnacentral:rRNA from 1 species